rnacentral:rRNA from 1 species
UACGUAGGGGGCGAGCGUUGUCCGGAAUCAUUGGGCGUAAAGCGCGUGUAGGCGGCUUGGCAAGUCCGAUGUGAAAGCUCGAGGCUCAACCUCGAGUCUGCAUUGGAAACUGCUUUGCUAGAGUCCGGAAGAGGGGACUGGAAUUCCUGGUGUAGCGGUGAAAUGCGCAGAUAUCAGGAAGAACACCGGUGGCGAAGGCGGGUCCCUGGGACGGUACUGACGCUGAGACGCGAAAGCGUGGGGAG